AUCUUCAUCUUCAGCUCGAUGAUUCAUCUUCAUCUCAGUGAUUUAUCAUAGAGUGAUUUCGAUUUUGAAGUUCUCUCUCCCUCUCUCUCUCCCCCUCGAUUUCGAAGCUCCACCGCCAUCACCAUCUGCAUCGACGAGGACAGCAUGGACAUUAGCCUACUAAAGUGAGCACCAUUGUCUACAAUCUCAGAGACAAAAAAAGAACAAUGGGGUUCUUGCUAGUCGAUCACAGGUGUAGAUGGCUGUAUACAUAAAAGAUAGGACGUCAAAUGGUGAUUCAGUUGAUGUGGUUAUGGUAUGUGAUACUACUUUGUUAGACUUUUAAAAUGAUUCAUAUUGGAGGCCAAUUAUUGAAUUCAAAACUCGAGUUAUGGACUUGGAGGACGUUUGGAUUGGGACUGUCCCUCAUUGAUGUUUUUGGAGGUUGAUAUAGGUAGUCACAAGAGCAUAAUCGUAUAUUCCAAACUUGAGUUCAAGAACAAGUUGAAGAGAAACUUCAAUGGCAUCAAAUGCAGUUAGAGUCGAAAAUGAAUGACAUAAUGGAGAACCAAAUUCAGGCUAUACGCACAGAUUUUCAGUCACGAAUUGAGGUUUUGGAAUCUCAAUUGCAAGCUGCGGGCGUGCCCAUUGUACCAACAGUUGCACCCUUAAACCCAUUACAUAGGCUAUACGUAUUUCAACUAUUUCUACUAGUUAUUACUUUAAAUUGCCUAGAGCUACUGUAUAACUUAAGUCUUUUAUUGAAUGAUAGGUUGUGGAUUCACUUAGUAGUCAUCCUACUAUUAGGCCAAUGCCACAUUAACAACAAUCUUAUAUAUUUUCAUCCUAAGAGGCAUUUAGACCAGUGAAAACUACAGCUAUAUGAGCUUCUAUUGCUAAAACAUGAUUUAUGGAUAUGUUAUUUUGUGGUUAAUGUUAAAACAUGAUUUGUGGAUAUAUUAUUUUGUGGUUAAUGGUGGUUGAAUAUUAAAUUGAAUGUGAAAGUGAAUUAAUGCUGCAUUUGCUAUUUGAAUGGGAGUUAUUGUUUCA